GUUCCCUCAACUGCUAAUUCCCUUCCCCAACCAGGGAUCGAAGCCAUGCACCUGCAUCGGAAGUGCAGAGUCUUACCACUGGACUGCCAGGGAACUCCCUACAAUGUAAUUUUAAAAGUACGUGGGCCUCUCACUGUUGUGGCCUCUUCCCGUUGC